rnacentral:misc_RNA from 1 species
GAAAUGCGAUAAGUAAUGUGAAUUGCAGAAUUCAGUGAAUCAUCGAAUCUUUGAACGCACAUUGCGCCCGCCAGUAUUCUGGCGGGCAUGCCUGUUCGAGCGUCAUUACAACCCUCAGGCCCCCGGGCCUGGCGUUGGGGAUCGGCGGAAGCCCCCUGCGGGCACAACGCCGUCCCCCAAAUACAGUGGCGGUCCCGCCGCAGCUUCCAUUGCGUAGUAGCUAACACCUCGCAACUGGAGAGCGGCGCGGCCACGCCGUAAAACACCCAACUUCUGAAUGUUGACCUCGAAUCAGGUAGGAAUACGCGCUGAACUUAAGC